rnacentral:lncRNA from 1 species
CGAACACAAAUUAAAAGUUGUAACAAAAGAUUGCUGUGCAAUUAAAAUGUGUUAAAAAUGUAAAUUGUGUUAAAAAAAUUUAAAUUUGUGUUAAAAAUGUAAACAUUUUAAAUUUGUAAAAACAAGACUGCAGAACAUGACAAGGGCCAAAUAUGAUGACUGGAGUAUCCUCUUUAAUUUCACAGACCAUUAAAAAUAUGCUUCUUUGUGUCCACCAUAGAAAAUAAAAGUACACAUGUCAAUAAAUGAAAAGGUUUUUGAAAAGUAAACUUUUCAUUUUGGAUGAGGACAAUGCUAGUAUUUCUUAUUAAGUAUCCUCACACAAAAACAUUUGUCAAAUCUACUUUGUUUUUAAAAAAGUAAUUCAGUCAGUAAAAUGCAAAUGUGGUAUGACACACCUUUUCAUAAGUAAUAAUCUUAAGUAAUUACAAGUAAUAGUCUUUAAUGCGUGUAUGUGCCCAUUAAACUAAACUGCUCAGAGAAAAGGCAGGCAUAAUAUACAUUGAUUAUAAAUGUAUGUUACUUGUAUCAUGAAAACGUUUCCUCAUAAAUCUACAAAAAAGAUACAUCAUGAAUACCUCUUACCAAAUAAAUUACACGUAUCCUUAAAUUAAAAAUACACUGAGUGUACAAAACAUUAGGAACACCUGCUCGUUCCAUGAAAAGACUGACCAGGUGAAAGCUAUGAUCCCUUAUUAGUGUCACUUGUUAAAUCCACUGUAGAUGAAGGGGUGGAAACAGGUUAAAGAAGGAUUGUUAAGCCUUGAGACAUGGAUUGUGUAUGUGUAUGCCAUUCAGAGGUUGAAUGGGCAAGACAAAAUAUUUCAGUGUCGUUGAACGGGGUAUGGUAGUAGGUGCCAGGCACACUGGGUUGAGUCACUGGCAUCAACAUGGGCCAGCAUCCCUUGUGGAACGCUUUCGACACAUUGUUGAGUCCAUGCCCCCGACGAAUUGAGGCUGUUCUAAGGGCAAAAGGGGGUGAAACUAAAUAUUAGGAAAGGUGUUCCUAAUGUUUGGUACACUCCGUGUAUGUAGACACAAACAUUGAGGAGUUGCUCCAGUACAUAACUGGUAAUAAAUAUUUAAUGCGGUUCAGAAGAAGUUCCUUACACCAAGAUCUUAGAACAAGGUGAGUGUUAGUAGCCAUUGGUCGAGCUCAGAGGGGACAAACUCAUCCAAUAACAUUGUCCCAAUGGCCCCUCGUCCAAACAUGGCGUAUCCUCAAGUUCCAUACUGAUCUGAUACCCGGUACAUACAAUUAAUUCCAGCAUGCACCAGUUGACUGUAUAGAUACGUUGGUAUUGACAGUAGGUUUGGAAAAAGAGAAAAACAACUUGUUACCAUGAUUAUGGUAUUUAAAGUCUAAUAAAUUAUUGAAAAUGUUGAGGACAAAAAGGUCACACGUCUUAUAUCAUCUGGGCAAAUAAAAUCAGAGAGGAAUGUCAGAAUCCAGCUGACAACUCUCACGAUGCAUUUCCCUAUCGCUUCAACUCACACAUUCUCAAAGUUUCCCUUUCGACAUCCUUUUGGUCAGACAAGCAAGCAGCGUGACAUAUCCUAUGGCAUAAUCAGCAAAGUGUACCCACAUCAGUCCCAUUUUUGAUUGAAACAAAAAUAUCAACAUGAAUAUUUAGAACCAAAAUCCUUCUAAAUCGAACCCGGCUGGACAAAUGUAAGGAAUCCAUUUAUACAUUUCUUCUUUAACUUUCCCCCUUUACCAACUUUAACUUUCACCAGAGUGUGAGUGGCCCAUAGGAGGCCUCACUCUAUUUGAGCCAGGGGUCGGUCUGUCUGUCUUCUUUGAGCCAGGGGUCGGUCGGUCUGUCUGUCUUCUUUGAGCCAGGGGUCGGUCUGUCUUCUUUGAGCCAGGGGUCGGUCUGUCUGUCUGUCUUCUUUGAGCCAGGGGUCGGUCUGUCUGUCUGUCUGUAUUCUUUGAGCCAGGGGUCUGUCUGUCUUCUUUGAGCCAGGGGUCUGUCUGUAUUCUUUGAGCCAGGGGUCUGUCUGUCUGUCUGUCUUCUUUGAGCCAGGGGUCUGUCUGUCUUCUUUGAGCCAGGGGUCUCUGGGUCUGUCUGUCUGUAUUCUUUGAGCCAGGGGUCGGUCUGUCUGUCUUCUUUGAGCCAGGGGUCUGUCUGUCUUCUUUGAGCCAGGGGUCGGUCUGUCUGUCUGUCUUCUUUGAGCCAGGGGUCUGUCUGUCUUCUUUGAGCCAGGGGUCUGUCUGUAUUCUUUGAGCCAGGGGUCGGUCUGUCUGUCUGUCUUCUUUGAGCCAGGGG